ensembl:misc_RNA Y_RNA Y RNA
GGUUGGUCCUCAGGUAGUGAGUUAUCUCGAUUGCUUAGUCAGUUACAGAUUGAACUUUUUUCUACUCUUCCCUGCUUUUCAUUACUGCACUCAACUAGUUUUUU